AUGCAAAGUAGAGGUCAUCGCAGAGGAGAGUUAGAUGAAGCCUUUUUAAUGACUCCAGAAAGCCUCCUCACCAGUACUCCGAUAUAGAUGACACCAGAAAGAAGUGUAUGAUUCUGCAGAGAACAGAGACCGGUUGAGGCUGAAGAGUUCAGAAGACAAUUAGGCAUUGAAUUAUCAGAGAGCUUAUCUAGUGGGAAAGCCCCAUGCAAUUUUACCACAGCAAUAACCUCUUCUUCUAAAAUAGAAAAGCAGAACAAACACAUACAGUCAUGUUUUUAUCCAGUAGUAAAAGUGAUCACACGCACCACUCCCGAAGAAGAGCAGGGGCCAGGGUGGAGACCUCUAAAAACA